UGUGAGGCGUUGAGCUAACCUGUACUAAUUGCCCGUGAGGCUUAACCAUACAACACCCAAGGGGUUUUGUA
rnacentral:rRNA from 1 species